AUAAGAUCUGUACACUGUGGGGACCUCCGCUUUCAGCUUUGGAGCCACCCUCCCUCCGUCUCUGUACUGGGGAGCUCCUUCCUUCUGUCUUCUCCCUUCCUUCUUG